rnacentral:lncRNA from 1 species
AACCUUGAGAGGCGACAGCCUGCUACAGAGAAGAGGAAGAAGAACCAAGACAGAUCCAAAGAAAGGAUGCUGCCACCACGCUGACUUCUGGUUAGACCACAUCAUACUCACGAAUAUUCUGAGUCCAUUGCAGAGUCUUGCACACAAGAAAAGCAACAUGUGAACGAAUGAAAAACGAAGCUAUGACUUUUUGGACGCUUCAGAGCUAAACGAAGCCCUGGAAGG